GUAGGUGAACCUGCGGANGGAUCAUNACCGUGAUGAUGAUGAUGACGAAGCAGUCGUUUGCGCGACACUAGUCUUCGAUCACAACAUACACACACAUCUCGUACGGACAGCGCACAAGGCGAGCCCGAAAGGCUGGCCGAAAACGACACGGUUGUCGCGCGUUUCGGGGUACCUGGCCGGCGCCGUCUAUGCGCCGGGGGAGCGGCGGACGAUGACUUCGUUUUGCUUCGUCUAUUGGUGAUCCGACGGUCACCGACCGCACGGCGACGGUUCAAAGAACUAGCCGACUGCUGUUGCUACUACUACUACGGCAGUCGGUCCGUCGCCCCGUACGCGUAUGUUUUUUCCGUCUUAUUUUCACUACAGUCGCUAUACGAAUCGUCUUCGACGUCGGCGUUCUCGAACGUCGGCGGCGACGACCGAGUUCUGUGACAGACAAAUAUCAUAAAACUCUAAGCGGUGGAUCACUCGGCUCGUGUGUCGAUGAAGAGCGCAGCCAGCUGCGUGAANUAAUGUGAAUUGCAGGACACAUUGAACAUCGAUAUCUUGAACGCACAUUGCGGCCUCGGGCAUUCUCGAGGCCACGCCUGUCUCAGGGUCGGUUGAAAGUAUCUAUCGCGAGUCGUCUCUUGCUCGCGCAGUGGACCGUCGCGGCAACGGCGCAACAACGUUCGGUCUUCUCUUGCCGUUCGUCGUCUAGCCUGCCGUCGCGUCGUCCGAAAUUCAGACGGUUCGCGUUGCGUCUUGCGCGACGCGAUACCGCACGUCUCGAUACCGCUUCGUCGAUGGAUUCAGCGGGACGGUUGCUCGGAUGCUCUCCUCAUCUUUUGCAGAGUUCUAAGAGCCGUUGUCGCUGCUGCUGUCGUCGUCGUCGGUGAGGCGCGCUAACCCUAAACAACAACGAUUUUCGACCUGAGAUCAGACGAGAUCACCCGCUGAAUUU
rnacentral:rRNA from 1 species